rnacentral:rRNA from 1 species
CGUGCCAGCAGCCGCGGUAAUACGUAGGUGGCAAGCGUUGUCCGGAUUUAUUGGGCGUAAAGCGCGCGCAGGCGGUCUUUUAAGUCUGAUGUGAAAGCCCCCGGCUUAACCGGGGAGGGUCAUUGGACACUGGAAGACUGGAGUGCAGAAGAGGAGAGUGGAAUUCCACGUGUAGCGGUGAAAUGCGUAGAUAUGUGGAGGAACACCAGUGGCGAAGGCGACUCUCUGGUC